UGUUCACGUGGGCUGUUUUAUUGGUUGGAUUCAGAUGAAUGAAAGGAAUUAAAAGAGAUAAAUGAUGUGAGACAGCCAAAGUGAUUGGGUGGCGGGUCCAUUGUCCUUUGAUUUGUUUUUUUGUCGGCUGAUAUUUAUUGUGUCGGUGCAGUUUUUUUUCUUUAUAUAUGUAUCUGCUUUGUAAUUUGAUGAGAAUGAUUCAGAGGAGAGAAAAAAUUGAGGAAAAAUAAUACAGAGAGAGUUUUGAGGAUAGAGAUGCCGAGAGAAGGCAGAGAGGGCUGAAAGCUUGAUGUUCCACUGAUAAAUUAUUUUACAAAUUUCAAGUACCGAGGAUGCUUGAGGAUUUUUAGCUGCGGGCUUAGGUGGAAGAGUUGGUGUUGAGGAAUUAAUUUAUUUAUUUUGAGAGAUGUUGUAUUCAUUUUUGAGGAAUUGAUUCUGUAUCAAUAAAAUGGUAUUUUUUUUUUAAGAUCCUGGGUGUAAAUUGAAGUAUUUUGAUUUGAAUAAAUCGACGA